AACGAACGCUGGCGGCAUGCCUAACACAUGCAAGUCGAACGAAACCUCCGGGGCUAGUGGCGCCCGGGUGCGUAACGCGUGGGAACCUGCCCUUAGGUUCGGAAUAACUCCCCGAAAGGGGUGCUAAUACCGGAUAAUGUCUUCGGACCAAAGAUUUAUCGCCUUUGGAGGGGCCCGCGUGGGAUUAGCUGGUUGGUAGGGUAAAAGCCUACCACGGCGACGAUCCAUAGCUGGUCAGUGAGGAAGAUCAGCCACACUUGGAGUGGGACCCGGCCCAGACUCCUACGGGAUGGAGGAAAGGGGGAUAUUGGACAAUGGGCGGAAGCCUGAAGCAGUACGGCCGGGAGAGUGAUGAAGGCCGUAGGGUUGUAAAGCUCUUUUACCCGGGAUGAUAAUGACAGUACCGGGAGAAUAAGCUCCGGCUAACUCCGUG
rnacentral:rRNA from 1 species